UAAGGAAUAUUGGGCAAUGGAGGCAACUCUGACCCAGCCAUGCCGCGUGGAGGAUGAAGGCCCUCUGGGUUGUAAACUUCUUUUAUCUGGGAAGAAACCCUUGCAUUCUUGCGAGGUUGACGGUACCAGAGGAAUAAGCACCGGCUAACUCCGUGCCAGCAGCCGCGGUAAUACGGAGGGUGCAAGCGUUAUCCGGAUUCACUGGGUUUAAAGGGUGCGUAGGCGGGCAGGUAAGUCCGUGGUGAAAUCUCCGAGCUUAACUCGGAAAUUGCCGUGGAUACUAUCUGUCUUGAAUGCUGUGGAGGUGAGCGGAAUAUGUCAUGUAGCGGUGAAAUGCUUAGAUAUGACAUAGAACACCAAUUGCGAAGGCAGCUCACUACACAGCGAUUGACGCUGAGGCACGAAAGCGUGGGGAUCAAACAGG
rnacentral:rRNA from 1 species